AUUGAACGCUGGCGGCAUGCCUUACACAUGCAAGUCGAACGGCAGCACGGGAGCAAUCCUGGUGGCGAGUGGCGAACGGGUGAGUAAUGUAUCGGAACGUACCUUUCAGUGGGGGAUAACGUAGCGAAAGUUACGCUAAUACCGCAUAUUCUGUGAGCAGGAAAGCAGGGGGAUCGCAAGACCUUGCGCUGAUUGAGCGGCCGAUAUCAGAUUAGCUAGUUGGUGAGGUAAAGGCUCACCAAGGCGACGAUCUGUAGCGGGUCUGAGAGGAUGAUCCGCCACACUGGAACUGAGACACGGUCCAGACUCCUACGGGAGGCAGCAGUGGGGAAUUUUGGACAAUGGGCGCAAGCCUGAUCCAGCCAUGCCGCGUGAGCGAAGAAGGCC
rnacentral:rRNA from 1 species